rnacentral:rRNA from 1 species
UACGUAGGGGGCAAGCGUUGUCCGGAUUUAUUGGGCGUAAAGAGCGUGUAGGCGGCCAGGUAGGUCUGCUGUGAAAACUCGAGGCUCAACCUCGAGAUGUCGGCGGAAACCAUCUGGCUAGAGUCCGGAAGAGGAGAGUGGAAUUCCUGGUGUAGCGGUGGAAUGCGUAGAGAUCCGGAAGAACACCGGUGGCGAAGGCGGCCUGCUGGGCAGUUGCUGACACUGAGGCGCGACAGCGUGGGGAGCAAACAGG